rnacentral:lncRNA from 1 species
UUUACUUCCUUAUCAUUUGGGGAAAUGGAAGCAAGAGGCAAGAAAUGUUUUGGACAGAAUACAACAAUAUUGGAUCCCAGAUAUUUGCUAUCAACAUGCUUUGCAGAGUCCACAGGAAACCUUGUGUCUGGCUAUAAAUGAAGAAGCACCCCUUCCCAUGCUGAAGGAGCUGCUACAGUGAGCCCAUUACCUGGGAAGCAUCGGUUCUUGGGCCCCCAUCUCCACAGCUCUACAACUCUACAACUGAUGCCUCAGUCUUGAGGGAGGAGAGUUAACAUCAUCCUUCUUCCUUCCUAAGAAAGGAAUCAAGAUAAUGCAAAGUCAUUCCCACAGAUCUUCUAAAUUCUCUCACAAACUUAGUUUCCAUGACUGCUACCUUCAGGCAUGUUUAUAUCGUUCAGCAGACCCAGACAAGUGUGGCCAACAGCACAACGCAGAUUCUGGAACAUGAGUGUCUUCUCCCGAUUGUGACAAAAGUGUUCACUGGCCUCUUGUCCUUGAGGAAGUUGCUGUACAUUUUCUUGACAGUCCUCACUUGCAAAUCACAGGUAAUAACACUUCCCAUGUCAUGGGUUUUUGUGAGGAGGGUGAUAGUUAAUAUUUUCAGUGGACUUUGCUUAGCAAAUGCCACACAGCAAGUUUAAGAAAUGAGGUACAGUAUUUGCCAUUCAUCACUAGCCUGGUACAGAGGAGAGACCCCCAACAUGCUACACUGUGAUUGUGCUGGGCUUACUGCUUUCUAGAGGUGCUGAAUUGCUCCCCUGCCAGUUCAUGCUGAA